CCUCUACAUUUCCACAUCACAAAGCUUGCAAGACACACACUCGUCUCAGACAGUUUGUAUGGCCCCAAAUUAAAUAUUGUAAAAGAUUGACAAAUACACACUUCUGCUGUUAAUGAAAGGCAGUAUUAGGCAGAUGCCAUUGCAUCACCUAAUUCUAAUUUGGUUUCUGGACGGAAUCAUGGGCUCAUCACCACAGAAGCCUCUGGAGUGGCACCUUCCAGUUCAGUAGAGGUUGCACAUAAGUCUGAACUGGAAGGUUUGGUUCUGGUAAGUAAAUUCUUCCUUCACCAAAGCCAAUGGGAAUUUCAUCACUAACUUUGUGGGAACAACCUCACCAUGGUGAAUCUUGGGCAAUUUCUGGAUUGUUUGAAACUCGGAGGGAAAAGGGUUACAGAUGCUUUAACAGCC
rnacentral:lncRNA from 1 species